rfam:Schistosoma mansoni strain Puerto Rico chromosome W, complete genome
AUUCAGCUGACGAGUCCAAAAUAGAACGAAAUGCAUAUCCUGGAU